rnacentral:rRNA from 1 species
UAAGGGCGCACGGUGGAUGCCUUGGCACUAGAAGCCGAUGAAGGACGUUACUAACGACGAUAUGCUUUGGGGAGCUGUAAGUAAGCUUUGAUCCAGAGAUUUCCGAAUGGGGAAACCCAGCAUGAGUUAUGUCAUGUUAUCGAUAUGUGAAUACAUAGCAUAUCAGAAGGCACACCCGGAGAACUGAAACAUCUUAGUACCCGGAGGAAGAGAAAGAAAAUUCGAUUCCCUUAGUAGCGGCGAGCGAAACGGGAAGAGCCCAAACCAACAAGCUUGCUUGUUGGGGUUGUAGGACACUCUAUACGGAGUUACAAAGGACGACAUUAGACGAAUCAUCUGGAAAGAUGAAUCAAAGAAGGUAAUAAUCCUGUAGUCGAAAAUGUUGUCUCUCUUGAGUGGAUCCUGAGUACGACGGAGCACGUGAAAUUCCGUCGGAAUCUGG